rnacentral:lncRNA from 1 species
GGCGGUUUCUCCCCACUGUUUUUCGCAUUUCCACAAACUGGUGUGUGCCCCGGCGAAGCAUUACUGGCUGUUCUUCCCCAUUUUCCCCCAAAAAUCCGUCGUCGAAGAACGGGGGAAACGACUGGGUUCGCACACAGCGCGUGUCUUGCCUGAAUGCGGACCGGCACUCCUCCCUUUACACGCUUGUCUUCCGGAGAACUUUGUCGAGUUCGCGGGUGUCCUCCUUUCUUCACAAGAUUCAAGGUCCAUGGAGAGGAAAGUGAAAAAGUCGCUCGCACACUCAGCCGAGAGCGCCGCGGCGGUUCCGGCAUUCUGGAGGGUCCCGCGGGCUAGCGCGUUUCGUUGAGGAAAUCCGUUGUUUGAGGAGGCAGCUGUAGUGUUUGCCACCGGAUUUUUAUAAGGGAAUCGGAGAGCGGAG